GUAGUUACGUGGUGCCGGGAUCUCGUUGAUCAUCGAGGAUGAGCCCCCAGGGCGAGGCACGGGUUUUGAACCUCGUUCGCAUUGACCCCUGCCACUACCACAAACUGGGGCAGAUGGAGCAUGCAAAUUGCUUAGAUUCGGUUCAACGCAAGAGAGGCUGCAACCGC
rnacentral:snRNA from 1 species